rnacentral:lncRNA from 1 species
UCCAAUUUACAUAAUGUCUUCUUGCAUCUCUGCCUACAGGUUGUGUUCCAGGAAAACGCCCAUGCGGAAGCGUGGUUGGAAAGGAGGAGUUCUGAGACUUCGUUCUCAAGGACAAUGAAACUAAGCCAAAACACCCUGGAGUCUCACAUAUCAAGACAGUAUCACCUUUGUGGGGCCGGAGGAUGAACAGACUAAGUCUCAUUAUUUUGCCAAGAUAUACACAAUACUGCUGAAAAGUAUAUAAUAACUUAGAAAACUAUUAACACAAAGUUUAUGGCAGUCAUAGACUCAGACAUUUCUAGGUCAGUGUAAGAUUUCUGCUGUCAAGAGUUCCCAAGCCUCUAGAUGAUGCUGUAAAGAAAGAUUCACUCACUGUACUUGAACGGAGAGUGAGAGAGAGAGUACUUUAGCCUAUUUCUUUGCUUGCUUGGUUCCUUAUCUGUUUUCUGAAAGCUGCUGGAAAGCAACAGAGAUUUAGCUGCCAGGUCUGAACUGCAGGGGUGGAAUUGGCAGUAGUAAAAGCAAAAAGAUUCAGCAAAUAAAAGAUAAUAUAG